rfam:Stegodyphus mimosarum contig14821, whole genome shotgun sequence.
ACCUUCAUGGUGUAAUGGUCAGCACACUCGGCGCGUAUUCGAGAAGUCCGAGGUUCGAGUCCCGGCGAGGACA